UAUUGUGGUUAGAGCCGGACGGACCUGGCAUGUGAAUGAGACUGGUGCCGUCAGACUGUCUGUAACACUCGAUUGGACAAUCUGAGGUCAUGUGACUGAGACUGGUGAGGUCAGACUGUCUGUAACACUCGAUUGGACAAUCUGAGGUCAUGUGACUGAGACUGGUGAGGUCAGACUGUCUGUAACACUCGAUUGGACAAUCUGAGGUCAUGUGACUGAGACUGGUGAGGUCAGACUGUCUGUAACACUCGAUUGGACAAUCUGAGGUCAUGUGACUGAGACUGGUGAGGUCAGACUGUCUGUAACACUCGAUUGGACAAUCUGAGGUCAUGUGACUGAGACUGGUGAGGUCAGACUGUCUGUAACACUCGAUUGGACAAUCUGAGGUCAUGUGACUGAGACUGGUGAGGUCAGACUGUCUGUAACACUCGAUUGGACAAUCUGAGGUCAUGUGACUGAGACUGGUGAGGUCAGACUGUCUGUAACACUCGAUUGGACAAUCUGAGGUCAUGUGACUGAGACUGGUGAGGUCAGACUGUCUGUAACACUCGAUUGGACAAUCUGAGGUCAUGUGACUGAGACUGGUGAGGUCAGACUGUCUGUAACACUCGAUUGGACAAUCUGAGGUCAUGUGACUGAGACUGGUGAGGUCAGACUGUCUGUAACACUCGAUUGGACAAUCUGAGGUCAUGUGACUGAGACUGGUGAGGUCAGACUGUCUGUAACACUCGAUUGGACAAUCUGAGGUCAUGUGACUGAGACUGGUGAGGUCAGACUGUCUGUAACACUCGAUUGGACAAUCUGAGGACAUGUGACUGAGACUGGUGAGGUCAGACUGUCUGUAACACUCGAUUGGACAAUCUGAGGUCAUGUGACUGAGACUGUGGUUGGAAUAUAUUUCCCCAAAUACCUUUC